CCUACGGGCGGCAGCAGUGAGGAAUAUUGGUCAAUGGGCGUAAGCCUGAACCAACCAAGUCGCGUGAGGGAUGAAGGUUCUAUGGAUCGUAAACCUCUUUUAUAAGGGAAUAAAGUGUGGGACGUGUCCUAUUUUGUAUGUACCUUAUGAAUAAGGAUCGGCUAACUCCGUGCCAGCAGCCGCGGUAAUACGGAGGAUCCGAGCGUUAUCCGGAUUUAUUGGGUUUAAGGGGUGCGUAGGCGGCCUUUUAAGUCAGCGGUGAAAGUCUGUGGCUCAACCAUAGAAUUGCCGUUGAAACUGGGGGGCUUGAGUAUGUUUGAGGCAGGCAGAAUGCGUGGUGUAGCGGUGAAAGGCGUAGAUAUCACGCAGAACCCCGAUUGCGAAGGCAGCCUGCCAAGCAAUGACUGACGCUGAUGCACGAAAGCGUGGGGAUCAAACAGGAUUAGAUACCCUGGUAGUC
rnacentral:rRNA from 1 species